rnacentral:rRNA from 1 species
CCCAGUAAACGGCGGCCGUAACUAUAACGGUCCUAAGGUAGCGAAAUUCCUUGUCAGGUAAGUUCUGACCCGCACGAAAGGCGUAACGAUUUGGGCGCUGUCUCAGCUGUAGACUCGGUGAAGUCUUAGUACCUGUGAAGAUGCAGGUUACCCGCGACUAGACGGAAAGACCCCAUGGAGCUUUACUGUAGCUUGAUAUUGGACUUUGAUGCAAGAUGUACAGGAUAGGUAGGAGACUGAGAGACAUGCACGCCAGUGUGUGAGGAGUCAAUGUUGGGAUACUACUCUUCUUGUAUUGGAGUUCUAACCGGAUGCCAUGGAACUGGCAACGGGACAGUGUCAGGUGGGCAGUUUGACUGGGGCGGUCGCCUCCCAAAGAGUAACGGAGGCGCCCAAAGAUACCCUCAGCUUGGAUGGAAAUCAAGCGCAGAGUGCAAAGGCAUAAGGGUGUUUGACUGCGAGACCUACAAGUCGAGCAGGGACGAAAGUCGGGCUUAGUGAUCCGGCGGUGCUGAAUGGAAAGGCCGUCGCUCAACGGAUAAAAGCUACCCUGGGGAUAACAGGCUGAUCUCCCCCAAGAGUUCACAUCGACGGGGAGGUUUGGCACCUCGAUGUCGGCUCAUCGCAUCCUGGAGCUGAAGUCGGUUCCAAGGGUUGGGCUGUUCGCCCAUUAAAGCGGUACGCGAGCUGGGUUCAGAACGUCGUGAGACAGUUCGGUCCCUAUCUGUCGUGGGCGCAGGAAGUUUGAGAAGAUCUGUCCUCAGUACGAGAGGACCGGGAUGGACAUAUCAAUGGUGCACCAGUUGUCACGCCAGUGGCACAGCUGGGUAGCUAAAUAUGGAAGGGAUAAACGCUGAAGGCAUCUAAGUGUGAAACCCACUUCAAGAUGAGACUUCCCAUUACGCAAGUAAGUAAGACCCCUUAAAGACGAUAAGGUUGAUAGGUCAGGAGUGUAAGCAUGGCGACAUGUUCAGCGGACUGAUACUAAUAGGUCGAGGACUUAACCU